GCGCUGUAGGCUGUCAGAACCCUGGAUCACGUUAAACCCCUGUUCGUGCAUCUAGCAUAUUGCGUCGGAUAGAGUCAUACGCUGCAAGGCCGCAAAAUCGUAGAAGGAUGGGCCGUUCAGUUCUCUCUCACUUUCUCAAUCUCUCGAACCCCUCUCCACGCUUCACAUCUUCACUGUCGUCUGGCGCAAUUCCAAGUAAAUUAUUGAAAAAAUCUGGAUCAAUUGGUCAGCAUUGUCUUCUAAACAGACAAAUCAGGACAGGUUUUCGAUGCUGUUGCAGUAUCUCGGUUUCGCAGCCUGCUGGCCAGGAGAGUUCUUCAAGCCCUCUGAGGAAGAGGAUAGUGUCUGGGGUUCAGCCAACUGGGACUAUACACCUAGGAAAUUAUCUUGGUGCUAUAAAAAAUUGGAUCCCACUUCAGAAUACAUAUGAUACUUUCUUCUUUAUUGUGGACCUCCAUGCGAUAACAUUACCUUAUGAAACACAACAAUUAUUUAAAGCAACGAGGGAUACAGCAGCAAUUUAUUUGGCAUGUGGCGUGGACACCUCCAAGGCCUCUGUCUUUGUUCAGUCUCAUGUUCGUGCCCAUUCAGAAUUGAUGUGGUUACUGAGUUCUGCCACUCCAAUUGGUUGGUUGAACAAAAUGAUUCAGUUCAAAGAGAAAUCCCGGAAAGUGGGAGAUGAAAAUGUUGGGGUUGCCCUUCUGACUUAUCCUGUUCUCAUGGCUUCUGAUAUUCUUUUAUAUCAGUCUGAUUUUGUCCCAGUUGGGGAGGAUCAGAAGCAGCAUCUGGAACUGACCCGUGAGCUGGCUGAACGUGUUAAUUAUUUAUAUGGAGGAAGGAAGUGGAAGAAAUUGGGAGGGCGAGGAGGUGCAAUUUUUAAGGUUCCUGAGCCCCUUAUUCCACCAGAAGGAGCACGUGUAAUGUCCCUUACAGAUGGUUGUUCCAAGAUGUCCAAGUCUGCUUCUUCAGAUCAGUCUCGUAUCAACCUUCUUGACCCAAAAGAUGUAAUUGCAAACAAGAUCAAACGUUGUAAAACUGACUCAUUUCCUGGCCUGGAAUUUGACAAUCCUGAGCGACCUGAAUGCAACAACCUUCUUACAAUUUAUCAGCUAAUGUCAGGCAGGACAAAAGAGGAAGUUGCGCAUGAAUGCCAAGAUAUGAACUGGGGUGUGUUCAAGAGAAUCCUAACGGAUGCAUUGAUUGAUCAUCUACAUCCCAUCCAGGUUCGCUACGAGGAAAUUAUGUCUGAUUCAGCUUAUUUGGAUAGGCUCUUGGCAGAGGGUGCCACAAAAGCUGCAGAUAUAGCUGAUGCUACUCUCAAUAAUGUCUAUCAGGCGAUGGGAUUCUUGCGAAGAUGAGCAGAACUGAUGCUGCAAUAAGAAUUUAUGUGGAAAGACCUCUAAGAAAGUGACCUUAAAACUAACUUUUGGAUGAUCCAUUGUUGCCCACAAGUUUUGGACUAUAUACAUAAGCAUAUUCUUGAUGAGAAAAAAGGUUAUGUGAUGGGUUGGCCCCAUGAAUUCAUUGGUGCAGUUGCCUCAGCCUCUCCUGUCUGGACAGGUUUGCAGAAUGGACAUCGCUGGAAAUUUCUUCUGUGCUGCUUGCCUGUGAAUUAAGCUGAUUCAUGGAAUUAUUAGGAUAUUCUGAUAAGGGCAUUCGCUAAAGAGCAUGCUGACUACUGGCAACAUGUGCAAGAACAUUACAUCUCAAAACUCUGCUGAGAUCUGAGACCACUACACAACCCAACCCCCCAACACCCACACCCCAAAACAAAAAUAGAUAGAGAAGAAUCUAAACGAAUCUUUCGUCAUCUGGUGGACACUCAGGAAAUUGGAUUUAUGAAGAAUUCUAUCUAGGGACGGUAACUGAAACCCAUUUAGUUCUAGGUGUCGUCAUGUCCAUGGUUGGAUUCUUAUCAACAUGGAAGAAAGUGAUAGGAAGAGGGAAUAUCUGUCCAUGAAUUGAAAGAAAAAAUAUCAAUUCAUAUUCUCAUCCAAUUGCAUCCACCCACAGCCUUUCUUUCUUUUACAAAGGAAGAGAUGUGACCACAUAUUUGUGAAAACCAUGGGAAAGACAGUGAGAGGUCAAUGGCACCGUGAAAUCCUUUCCUCUCCCUCCCUCUCCCUUUCUCCCAUGGGUGGGUGGCAAAGGAAUAAAGGGUGCAUCUCUUCUCAAUGCUUCUCUCUUUUAACAUUUUCCUGAAAAUUAGAGACAGAGAGUGAUGGUUACAGAAAGACAAGGCAGAGUCUGCUGUCUGCUAAUUUAAAGAUGGGCGUAUAGUACUUGGUUUGAGUGUGGGUGUUUACUUGAUUUAUUGUUAACAAUGGUGCCUAAGCUACAAAAGGUUAAGUCUUAUAGUGUCUGAAGCUACAUCACAAUUAUGAUUAUGAGAUCUCUUUACCAGAAGAAUUUGUUUCAUAGGCAAGCAGUUGCAGACAAGAUAAUUUAUGAUAGCUCCCAACCCUAAUCUCCCAUUAGAAUUUCGGGUUUUUUAAUUUUGUGGAAACUUCAUUUGCCUAAUGGGUAAUAGUUUUGUGAAUUGCUCA